AUUUAAAUAUCAGAACACUUCAAAACGAAGAUUUUGCUAAAAUUACAGAGGAAAUAAUUGAGUUAUUUCCAAAAGAAUGUAAAGAAACUUACUAUAUGCCACCUAUACGAAAAAAGUAUUCAAAAAUUGAUAAAGCUGGUAUCUCAAGAGGAAAAUUGGUCGAUAAAUUUCGUAAUGCAUUAAAAUUUAUCCGUUAUGCUGACAAGUUGAAAAAUAAUAAUCACAUUGAACAAAAUGUUAUUGUAAGCCAAGCUGAUGAUCAACAAAUCGCAGAAGAACAUAGAAUUUGGUUGAUCCACAACCAAAAAUGACAGAAUGAAGUUAAUGAAAAAUGGGAUGCGUCAUAUAUAUAUAUUACGCGUUGAAGAUUGCGCUAGUAAAAAUAUACAAAA